rnacentral:rRNA from 1 species
GGGGCACGUGCGCGUGCUAUACUGCACGUCGAACGCUUUGUGGUUAACUGAUUUGAAGAGCUUGCUCAGAUAUGACGAUGGACAUUGCAAAGAGUGGCGAACGGGUGAGUAACACGUGGGAAACCUACCUCUUAGCAGGGGAUAACAUUUGGAAACAGAUGCUAAUACCGUAUAACAAUAGCAACCGCAUGGUUGCUACUUAAAAGAUGGUUCUGCUAUCACUAAGAGAUGGUCCCGCGGUGCAUUAGUUAGUUGGUGAGGUAAUGGCUCACCAAGACGAUGAUGCAUAGCCGAGUUGAGAGACUGAUCGGCCACAAUGGGACUGAGACACGGCCCAUACUCCUACGGGAGGCAGCAGUAGGGAAUCUUCCACAAUGGGCGAAAGCCUGAUGGAGCAACGCCGCGUGUGUGAUGAAGGGUUUCGGCUCGUAAAACACUGUUGUAAGAGAAGAAUGACAUUGAGAGUAACUGUUCAAUGUGUGACGGUAUCUUACCAGAAAGGAACGGCUAAAUACGUGCCAGCAGCCGCGGUAAUACGUAUGUUCCAAGCGUUAUCCGGAUUUAUUGGGCGUAAAGCGAGCGCAGACGGUUAUUUAAGUCUGAAGUGAAAGCCCUCAGCUCAACUGAGGAAUUGCUUUGGAAACUGGAUGACUUGAGUGCAGUAGAGGAAAGUGGAACUCCAUGUGUAGCGGUGAAAUGCGUAGAUAUAUGGAAGAACACCAGUGGCGAAGGCGGCUUUCUGGACUGUAACUGACGUUGAGGCUCGAAAGUGUGGGUAGCAAACAGGAUUAGAUACCCUGGUAGUCCACACCGUAAACGAUGAGUGCUAGGUGUUUGAGGGUUUCCGCCC